UGAAUACGAGAUGCUACGGCGUCGAAGCAGUGUAUGUCAGACUUCCAAGAAAAGCUCGCAAUGUCAUAAAUAAAGAAUGCCUGUACCAUAACCGACACAGGUGGGUAGGUAGAGUAUACUAAGGGGCGCGAGAUAACUCUCUCUAAGGAACUCGGCAAAAUAACUCCGUAACUUCGGGAGAAGGAGUGCCUUCUUUAAGAAGGUUGCAAUAACAAGAUCCAAGCAACUGUUUAUCAAAAACACAGGUCUCCGCUAAGUCGUAAGACAUGUAUGGGGGCUGACGCCUGCCCAGUGCCAGAAGGUUAAAGAAGUUGGUUAGCUUUUGCGAAGCUGAUGACUGAAGCCCUGGUGAACGGCGGCCGUAACAAUAACGGUCCUAAGGUAGCGAAAUUCCUUGUCGGGUAAGUUCCGACCCGCACGAAAGGCGUAAUGAUUUGGAUACUGUCUCGGAGAGGGACUCGGUGAAAUAGACUUGUCUGUGAAGAUGCGGACUACUUGCACCAGGACAGAAAGACCCUAUGAAGCUUUACUGUAACUUGAAAUUGAAAUUGGACUUUAUUUGCGCAGUAUAGGUGGAAGGCGUUGAAAGUAAUCUUGCGGGAUUAGUGGAGCCAUCAGUGAGAUACCACUCCUAUAAUGUUAGAUUUCUAACUUUGGAUCAUGAUCUGGUCAAAGAACAGUUUCAGGCGGGCAGUUUGACUGGGGCGGUCGCCUCCCAAAUGGUAACGGAGGCGUACAAAGGUUUCCUCUGUACGGGUAGAAAUCGUAUCUAGAGUGUAAAGGCAUAAGGAAGCUUGACUGUGAGACCUACAAGUCGAGCAGGGACGAAAGUCGGUCUUAGUGAUCUGACGGUGCUGAGUGGAAAGGCCGUCACUCAACGGAUAAAAGUUACUCUAGGAUAACAGGCUGAUCUCCCCCAAGAGUUCACAUCGACGGGGAGGUUUGGCACCUCGAUGUCGGCUCAUCGCAUCCUGGGGCGGUAGUACGUCCCAAGGGUUGGGCUGUUCGCCCAUGAAAGCGGUACGCGAGCUGGGUUCAGAACGUCGUGAGACAGUUCGGUCCAUAUCCGGUGUAGGCGUUAGAAUAUCGAGAGGAGCCUUCUUUAGUACGAGAGGACCGAGAAGGACAUACCUCUGGUGUACCAGUUAUCGUGCCAACGGUAAACGCUGGGUAGCUAUGUAUGGAGAGGAUAACCGCUGAAAGCAUCUAAGUGGGAAGCCCACCUCAAGAUGAGUAUUCUCAC
rnacentral:rRNA from 1 species